UACAGAGGUCCCAAGCGUUGUUCGGAUUCACUGGGCGUAACGGGUGCGUAGGUGGUGAGGUAAGUCGGAUGUGAAAGCUCCGAGCUCAACUCGGAAAUGGCAUUGGAAACUACCUUGCUCGAGGGUUUGAGGGGGGACUGGAAUACUUGGUGUAGCAGUGAAAUGCGUAGAUAUCAAGUAGAACACCAGUGGCGAAGGCGAGUCCCUGGAAAACUCCUGACACUGAGGCACGAAAGCUAGGGGAGCAAACAGG
rnacentral:rRNA from 1 species